GAUAAUUUAAAUAUGAUAGAAAUGAGAAAAGAAAAUAAUUAGCUUAAGAGAUAUAAUGAGAUAUAAGGAGUAUUAAAAUACUGAAAAUAAAAUAUUGUGAAGAAAAGUAGCUAAAAGUUACAAAUAGUUGAGCUGCCACCUGCAAGACAGGAUAAGAGCUGAUUUACGAAACCGAUUAUGACAAAUAUGUGUGAAAUUAAUUUUGUGUUCACUUGAAUACUGUAAAAAAAAAACGUUAUUGCAUAGCAGAAAAAAAAAACGAAUUUGUGGUGUACCGUGUAAGCUUACUAAUUAUUUGAGUUUGCUGAAGACUUAAAACGUAGCUGCCCUCGCAACUAUUGGUUGAGUCAAGAAGAAUACAAUACAAUACAAUACAAUAUUUUAUUAACGUCUCACCUUUUACAAAGCAAUACAUAACACAUUGAUUAAAACAAAUUACACAUAUGUAAAAGCCAUUCAUAUAGAAUUAUGAGAGACGAUUAUUUACACAUUCCAAACAAAUUUCAUACCG
rnacentral:lncRNA from 1 species